rnacentral:lncRNA from 7 species
ACAAAUGCACUAGGAAGGAAGUGUUGUCAUGGCCCUUAGAAAAGAUGCAGGGAAAUAAAGGCCAACACUGUGUGGCUAAACAAACAGGCUCACUCUCCUCUAUCCUCCCCUGCUGCCCAGUUCCUUCAGAAACCAUGCCCAACAGCCUGGCUAAGCCUAUUCCCCACCAGCUCCACCACACUUUGCCCCAGUUGUAAAGUUAAACAUGAAAGAAUAACCCAAAGCCCUUUGGCAUAAAUGGGAACCCAGCCCAGGUUCUUUGCAUGGCUUAAGCCCAUCGCUCAGACCAGUUUUCCAGCUGGAUCUCGUGUACUACUUUGGCUUAGUUUCUCUACUUAGAUUUCACCAGCUCUUCAAGUCCCAGCUUGCUGAAACCCCAGUUGGAGAGUUACCUCGCAGUGGUUACAACCCUGAGGCCACAGCAGCAGAGCCAGGGUGCUCAGCACCAUUGGACGCCCCCUGCUUGCCAGCAGCGUGCCGACCCUCGGCGCUGCUCCUCAACAGCCAUUUGCCCCAGCCUGGCCAAAGGAAGGGAAACCUCACAGUAAACAAAGCUCUGACCUUGCUGCAAGGGCACUGUCCUGCCUGCAGUCUCACAGACUUCUCAACUUUUCUUAAAGUUUGCUGGAGGAACACGCAGAAAAGCAGCCCAAGCAUUUGCAAGGAUUUGCUGGGAGCCUUGCCCUGUUCUGCACAUCACUCUGAUAGCACUGCACUGCGCAGCAGACAGAAUGCAGGACGGAGCCUGCUGGGUGUCACGCACCAACAGCACUAUUUGUGCUUCUGCCUGAGCAGCAUCCAUCAAUCACAGCUGAUUGAUAGCACCACAUCCAGCCAGCUCCCGAAGGAGAUAACAGUCAGGAGCUGGCACACAGAUGCAGGAGACUGCUAUGAAGUUGCUCACAGUGACCUUGGCAUCAGCAGGAAAAUGUCACAUCACGCUGUUCUGUGUGCAUCCAACCAGCUCAGGGAAGGCCAGCUUUGGUACACACAAACUGAAGGGAUCAAACCAGCUGAAACUUACCACAGACUGUAUGCUGAUAUUUCACUGAAUGUUACCUUUAUAAUCUGCUUGUACUUAGGAAAAGAAAAAAAACAAGAACCAACCACACAGGUCUAUAGAUACUAGAGGCCACAGCAAUGGCUCUUACUAUGAACCCAAGCUAGCCAAUGUAGUCCCUCAGUGAGCUAACACCCUGAAGAAGCCCAGACUACAAAAUAUCACUUGCAAGGAUGCAACUCAACUUUGGACCAUGCCAAUGACUGAGCACAGACAUCAUCAUUAACUACUUCAUUCCCCUGUAAAGAAGGGGACUGUGUGUGUCUCAGAUCUGUGCCAUCCACCAAGAGUGAUGUCUCCCUAGGUAUGCCUAGAGAGUCAUGCUUGGGAGAGACCAUUGUUCACUUGGGGUUUUUUGAUCCACUUAGGUUGGAAAUAAGUCUUAAGUGUCACAGCAUAGGCAAUGCUGACUGGUGGUCAGCCCAGCUCAGGCACAUUGGGACUCCUAGAAAGAGCAGUCCCCCAAAGUGCUCAGCAGCAGAGGUCACUUCGUGUAGUGCCAUAGCCUGAGAGGCAGAAGCCAAGCAUCUCACAGUGAAGGCCUGCACAACCUGCCCAAGACUCCAGGCUGCUGCCCUGCUACAGUUCACUGCUAACAUCCCACAAUGCUGCACUAAAACCAAAACCCACAGGCUGAUUCCCUGCUAAGGACAAUGACAGAAUUCACCACAGCUCAAAGACAUUUUUCCUGAGUGUACUACUGGCUACUUAAAAUAAUAACUAAAGAGAAAAUAUAUAGUAAAAACCACUGACAUCUCGUAUCUUUUUUAUGAAGUUUUUUCAUGAACUACUUCCUUGUUUCGGAGAGAACAUCUGUUGGUCUUUGAGGCUGUCACACAGCUCCUGAACAGUGUCCCCUGCAACUGCUAGUAUUUGGGAAGGCACAUGCCUUCAUCCUCAUGCUUGAUCCUCCUUCCAACUCAUGAUCUCCUGUAGGCAUCCUGUAGCCUGUUCCAAAUGAGGAACAAUUCUUCUGAUCCAAGCACAGAGGCACAACCUCCCUGUACAACUAUUCUACCCGUCAAUGGUCUGCAAUUCCCUUUGACGUCUCAACAUUUAUUAUAUCAGGUGGCUAUUGCUGUACAUGACUUUCUUUAUUUCAAACUUUAUUGUAGGAGUGUUAAAACUGUUUGUGUAACCUCUUUAUUAAAUUUCUUUCUGACAAUUUAUCUGC